rnacentral:sRNA from 1 species
AUUCUACCCAUGUGGGGAAGGAUGAAGCUUCGACUAAGGUUGAUUCGAGCGCAGCGAAAGCGUUACCGCGACAGCAACCCGAGCGAAGCGCGCAGCGCUGAGUAAUCACUUCCCCACCACCA